CCUACGGGAGGCAGCAGUGGGGAAUUUUGCGCAAUGGGGGAAACCCUGACGCAGCGACGCCGCGUGGAGGAUGAAGGCCUUCGGGUUGUAAACUCCUUUUGUGGGGGACAAUGGUGAUGGUACCCCAUGAAUAAGCCACGGCUAACUCUGUGCCAGCAGCCGCGGUAAGACAGAGGUGGCAAGCGUUGUUCGGAAUCACUGGGCUUAAAGGGCGUGUAGGCGGCAUUGCAAGUCUGGGGUGGAAUCCGGUGGCUUAACCCCCGAACGGCCCUGGAAACUGCAUUGCUUGAGUCAGUGAGGGGAGGGCGAAAUUCCCGGUGUAGCAGUAAAAUGCGUAGAUAUCGGGAGGAAGGCCGGGGGCGAAGGCGGCCCCCUGGCGCUUGCCUGACGCUGAGGCGCGAAAGCGUGGGGAGCAAACAGGAUAAGAUCCCCGGGUAGU
rnacentral:rRNA from 1 species